AUUGAACGCUGGCGGCAUGCUUUACACAUGCAAGUCGGACGGCAGCACAGAGAAGCUUGCUUCUUGGGUGGCGAGUGGCGAACGGGUGAGUAACAUAUCGGAACGUACCGAGCAGUGGGGGAUAACUAAUCGAAAAAUUAGCUAAUACCGCAUAUUUUCUGAGGAAGAAAGCAGGGGGCCUUUGGGCCUUGCGCUGUUUGAGCGGCCGAUAUCUGAUUAGCUAGUUGGUGGGGUAAAGGCCUACCAAGGCGACGAUCAGUAGCGGGUCUGAGAGGAUGAUCCGCCACACUGGGACUGAGACACGGCCCAGACUCCUACGGGAGGCAGCAGUGGGGAAUUUUGGACAAUGGGCGCAAGCCUGAUCCAGCCAUGCCGCGUGUCUGAAGAAGGCCCUCGGGUUGUAAAGGACUUUUGUCAGGGAAGAAAAGGGCGGGGUUAAUACCCCUGUCUGAUGACGGUACCUGAAGAAUAAGCACCGGCUAACUACGUG
rnacentral:rRNA from 1 species